rnacentral:rRNA from 1 species
CCUACGGGAGGCUGCAGUGGGGAAUAUUGCGCAAUGGGCGAAAGCCUGACGCAGCGACGCCGCGUGAGGGAUGAAGGUCUUCGGAUCGUAAACCUCUGUCAGCAGGGAAGAACGGUCACUGUGCUAAUCAGCAGUGAAUUGACGGUACCUGCAAAGGAAGCACCGGCUAACUCCGUGCCAGCAGCCGCGGUAAUACGGAGGGUGCGAGCGGUAAUCGGAAUUACUGGGCGUAAAGCGCUCGUAGGCGGUAUGUCAAGUCAAGGGUGAAAUCCCCGGGCUCAACGUGGGAACUGCCUUUGAAACUGGCAAACUGGAGUGUGUGAGAGGAUAGUGGAAUUCCAGGUGUAGGAGUGAAAUGCGUAGAUAUCUGGAGGAACAUCAGUGGCGAAGGCGACUAUCUGGCACAUAACUGACGCUGAGGAGCGAAAGCGUGGGUAGCAAACAGGAUUAGAUACCCUGGUAGUC